rnacentral:rRNA from 1 species
UACGUAGGGGGCAAGCGUUGUCCGGAAUCAUUGGGCGUAAAGCGCGUGUAGGCGGCUCGGUAAGUCUGCUGUGAAAGUCCAGGGCUCAACCCUGGGAUGCCGGUGGAUACUGUCGAGCUCGAGUCCGGAAGAGGCGAGUGGAAUUCCUGGUGUAGCGGUGAAAUGCGCAGAUAUCAGGAGGAACACCAAUGGCGAAGGCAGCUCGCUGGGACGUGACUGACGCUGAGACGCGAAAGCGUGGGGAGUAAACAGGAUUAGAUACCCGUGG